UACGAAGGGGGCUAGCGUUGUUCGGAUUUACUGGGCGUAAAGCGCACGUAGGCGGAUUGGUCAGUUAGGGGUGAAAUCCCAGAGCUCAACUCUGGAACUGCCUCUAAUACUGCCAGUCUAGAGUCCGGAAGAGGUAAGUGGAACUCCUAGUGUAGAGGUGGAAUUCGUAGAUAUUAGGAAGAACACCAGUGGCGAAGGCGGCUUACUGGUCCGGUACUGACGCUGAGGUGCGAAAGCGUGGGGAGCAAACAGG
rnacentral:rRNA from 1 species